AGAGAAGAUAUACAUUCAAAACCACUGGGAAUACUAUCCAGUAAAACUAUAGAUUAAGAAAAGAUAUAGAUUCAAAACCACUGGGAAUACCAUCCAGUAAAACUAUAGAUUGAAAACCAUGGGAAUUCUAUCCCGCACUAGAUAUAAAAUCCGUGAAUAAACUAUAUUUGUAACACCGUAAAUUUCAAAAUAAUUUUUCACAAAUUAUAAAAAUAUUUCUCAUUUAAUUUUCAUAAAACAUUAAGUUUAAAUCUCAAUUCACAUCAUACAAAAUCCCAAGAUCAAAUGUAUAUCAAAAAUCCCAUGCGUGUGUACAAAUCAAGUCGGCGCCUUCCCACGGUCAUCGCUAGUACCUGAAACAACAACACUAACACUGUAAGCACAAAGCUUAGUGAGUUCCCCAAAAUACCACAUAAACAUAUAUUAGCCACUCGAGGCUAUAACUCUAUGGGUCCGUGCACCCAAACUCUGUGAACCCUCAAGUUCUAGCUCUGGGAACCUUCCGGUUCCAACUCUAUUAACAUGCAUGGGUCCGUGCACCCAAACUCUGUGAACCCUCAAGUUCUAGCUCUGGGAACCUUCCGGUUCCAACUCUAUUAACAUGCAUAUCAUAAAUCACAUAGAAAUAAUGCAGUACAACACAUCACAUACAUAUAGCAUACAAAUACUCUGAUCACAUACCUCUGGUUACCUACUCAAGGUAAAGUAUAGUGAGAAGAAUCACCUCGCGUAUCUCGAUAACU
rnacentral:lncRNA from 1 species